UUGUCUCUUACAGUUUGUCCUACAUAGAUUGAAAAGAAAAGAGACAAGAUGAAAAAAAAAGAAAAAGAAAAAGAAAAUAUAUACAGAAAAUAAAAAAAAAAUUGUGAACAAUGGAGUCAAGAAGAGGAUUGGAUUAGAGGGUUUGGGUGUUAUUUGACUGUGUUUACCCUUGUUCCCCAUUGCUCCUCUAUUUCUUUUGGUUUGUAGCUUCUGAUCCAUAUUAUAUCCUCCCUUUUCCUUGGCUCCAUUUCAC
rnacentral:lncRNA from 1 species